UACGAACCGUGCGAACGUUGUUCGGAUUCACUGGGCUUAAAGGGCGCGUAGGCGGUCGACCAAGUCUGGGGUGAAAUCUUUCGGCUCAACCGGAAAAGUGCCCCCGAUACUGGCCGGCUAGAGGGAGAUAGGGGCAUGCGGAACUUCCGGUGGAGCGGUGAAAUGCGUAGAUAUCGGAAGGAACGCCGGUGGCGAAAGCGGCGUGCUGGAUCUCUUCUGACGCUGAGGCGCGAAAGCCAGGGGAGCAAACGGG
rnacentral:rRNA from 1 species